rnacentral:rRNA from 1 species
CGGUAAUACGGAGGGUGCGAGCGUUAAUCGGAAUUACUGGGCGUAAAGCGCAUGCAGGUGGUUUGUUAAGUCAGAUGUGAAAGCCCGGGGCUCAACCUCGGAAUUGCAUUUGAAACUGGCAAACUAGAGUACUGUAGAGGGGGUAGAAUUUCAGGUGUAGCGGUGAAAUGCGUAGAGAUCUGAAGGAAUACCGGUGGCGAAGGCGGCCCCCUGGACAGAUACUGACACUCAGAUGCGAAAGCGUGGGGAGCAAACAGGAUUAGAUACCCUGGUAG